GGCGGACGGGUGAGUAAUGCUUGGGAACUUGCCUUUGCGAGGGGGAUAACAGUUGGAAACGACUGCUAAUACCGCAUAAUGUUUUCGAACCAAACGGGGCUUAGGCUCCGGCGCAGAGAGAGGCCCAAGUGAGAUUAGCUAGUUGGUAAGGUAAAAGCUUACCAAGGCGACGAUCUCUAGCUGUUCUGAGAGGAAGAUCAGCCACACUGGGACUGAGACACGGCCCAGACUCCUACGGGAGGCAGCAGUGGGGAAUAUUGCACAAUGGGGGAAACCCUGAUGCAGCCAUGCCGCGUGUGUGAAGAAGGCCUUCGGGUUGUAAAGCACUUUCAGUUGUGAGGAAAGGAUAGUAGUUAAUACCUGCUAUCUGUGACGUUAGCAACAGAAGAAGCACCGGCUAACUCCGUGCCAGCAGCCGCGGUAAUACGGAGGGUGCGAGCGUUAAUCGGAAUUACUGGGCGUAAAGCGCAC
rnacentral:rRNA from 1 species